rnacentral:rRNA from 1 species
CAGCAGCGCGGUAAUACGUAGGGUGCAAGCGUUAAUCGGAAUUACUGGGCGUAAAGCGUGCGCAGGCGGUUAUAUAAGACAGAUGUGAAAUCCCCGGGCUCAACCUGGGAACUGCAUUUGUGACUGUAUAGCUAGAGUACGGCAGAGGGGGAUGGAAUUCCGCGUGUAGCAGUGAAAUGCGUAGAUAUGCGGAGGAACACCGAUGGCGAAGGCAAUCCCCUGGGCCUGUACUGACGCUCAUGCACGAAAGCGUGGGGAGCAAACAGGAUUAGAGACCCCCGUAGUCCCUGUCUCUUAUACA